rnacentral:rRNA from 1 species
GAUGAACGCUGGCGGCGUGCUUAACACAUGCAAGUCGAACGAAGCAUUUAAGACAGAUUACUUCGGUUUGAAGUCUUUUAUGACUGAGUGGCGGACGGGUGAGUAACGCGUGGGUAACCUGCCUCAUACAGGGGGAUAGCAGCUGGAAACGGCUGGUAAUACCGCAUAAGCGCACAGUACCACAUGGUACAGUGUGAAAAACUCCGGUGGUAUGAGAUGGACCCGCGUCUGAUUAGCUUGUUGGCGGGGUAACGGCCCACCAAGGCGACGAUCAGUAGCCGACCUGAGAGGGUGACCGGCCACAUUGGGACUGAGACACGGCCCAGACUCCUACGGGAGGCAGCAGUGGGGAAUAUUGCACAAUGGAGGAAACUCUGAUGCAGCGACGCCGCGUGAGUGAAGAAGUAGUUCGCUAUGUAAAGCGCUAUCAGCAGGGAAGAUAGUGACGGUACCUAACUAAGAAGCUCCGGCUAAAUACGUG